CAGCGGGGCAGCUUUGUGUGUGUGUGUGUGUGUGUGUGUGUGAAGUCAGAGAUCGUGAGUGAACAGGAUCAGCGUCUGAGGAGGCCCGCCUCAGCUGCGUUAUGCUGACUCAGCGGGGCAGGUGUGUGUGUGUGUGUGUGUGUGUGUGUGUGUGUGUGUGUGUGUGUGUGUGUGUGUGUGUGUGUGUGUGUGAAGUCAGAGAUCGUGAGUGAACAGGAUCAGCGUCUGAGGAGGCCCGCCUCAGCUGCGUUACGCUGACUCAGCGGGGCAGCUUGUGUGUGUGUGUGUGUGUGUGUGUGUGUGUGUGUGUGUGUGUGUGUGUGUGUGUGUGUGUGUGUGUGUGUGUGAAGUCAGAGAUCGUGAGUGAACAGGAUCAGCGUCUGAGGAGGCCCGCCUCAGCUGCGUUACGCUG